rnacentral:lncRNA from 1 species
CCCUUCCCCACCGCCUCCCCUGCCCCAGGCCCAAACUCAGGCCCAGGCGGACCGGUCCCCCGGGACCCGCAGGCCUCGGCCCGGCCCCGACGCUCCCAGCCCUGGGAUUCGACCCUCGGCCGACGGGGGGCGCUCUCCCCCGCCCUCACGCCGCCGCAAAGCACCCUGGGAGUUGUAGUUCUCGCUCUCCCCGCCCGGCCCCCGCUACCGGCCGCCCCUCGCCGCCUUCCUUCCCGGCUCCCGCCGGCCCCUCUCCCGCUGGGGGAUACCCGGCUACAGGCCGCGCCCCCGCCGCGAACCACCGCUCCCGGCGCGCCCCGCUCCGCCGCCGCCUUCCGCUUCCUCCGCCCGGCGCCCCUCGGGCCUUGUAGUCCCCCCGCCCUAUUCACGACGGGCCCUGCGCUGUUUCCGCGCCGUAGCGCCCGCAGGCCGGGAUGGGGCGCUACGCCACGGCGGCGGCGUAAGGGCGGGCUCGGGGACUCCGGGGCAGGCCGGGCCGCCGGCGGAGCGGGAGGAAGGCGCCGGCGGAGCGGCCGGGCGCCGCGGCGGGCGGGCGGGCGGGGAGGGAGGGGUGGAAGUUGCCCUGCCCGGGGGAAAGUGCGGCGCCGGGGCUUGGAGGGGGGGACGCCAGCAGCAGCGCGGCCGCCUCCAUCCCCAGGCGCUGUGCCCCUCCAGACAUCCCCGCGUUCGCAUCCAGCCCCCUCGGGAGAUCCUGCCCGGUUGCUAAUUGUCACGAGCUGUCCAGAAUCCUUAUCAUGAAGAUCCUGCUGUGUUCCUGAAGUGUUGCGGUACCUGCUGCGACCACAGCGCUUGCCGGAAUGCUAAACAGCCUCUACCAUCAGAGAGAGUAAGGCCAAGUGGUGGGAACAGAACUAUAAAGUCACCGCCAAAGGUUCUGAAGCCACAAGUGAAGAAUCUGACCCAAAAGCAGAGCGACUCCUGUCUCCAGGCGGGACCGAGAUCCAGCUGAUGCUGCGGGAACCACAGAGCCUUCUGAGAGCUCAAGUUCAAGUGGAUGCAUGUUGAGUCACCUAAAACGUGAGUUAGUUGCGUGCGCUGGUGUGAGAUGCUGGUCACAGAAUCCCAGAAUGCUAUGGGGUUGGAAGGGACCUCUGGAGAUCAUCCAUCCAACCCCCUGCCAGAGCAGGUCCACCCAAAGCAGGUCGCACAGGAACGUGUCCAGGUGGGGUUUGAAUGUCUCCAGAGAAGGAGACUUCACCACCUCCCUGGGCAGCCUCUUCCAGGGCUCUGCCACCCUCAAAGUAAAAAAGCU